GAUAUAUGUAGGGAAAGACUCUCUCAUGUCCUGCAAUGUAAAUAUAUUUAAAGUGUAGAUCGUGUCAAGAAAGUCAUCCUUAAAUAUAAAGAUCUCUUCCUAAAUUUUCAACAGUGCUUCCUGAAUUUUUCUGCAGAACGCUGAAAGAGCAAUACCACGUUGAAACCUCAUCUAUUUACAUUAAAAAAACACAUACCUAACAUGCAAUACCCUUUAAAACUACUAUGAUUUGCACACCACAAAAAAAAGAAAAAUAAUUCUAUAUCAAACUCUAACAUUCUUGUUGUAACAAAAUUACUAUCACCGUUCUAAACAAAACUCAUAUAAAGUAGUGGAUGAUGCAGGAAUCUGAAAAUGACCAGAGGACACAGCAAUGGAGGCUGAAAAAGCAUAAGCAGAAGCAGGAAUGAUGGCAGCAACAGCCUGAGGUAAAUAGAUUUGAGCUUUCUUGAUGAUUUCUGCAAUAAUCCAAACUUAUGCUUGCUUCAUGUCUUUGAUGUAUCCAAUUUCACCUGCACAUUAAUUCAGCCAAUGGAAAACACAUUCCAAACUCUAGCAUUCUUGUUGUACCUAAACUAAACUCAACCGAACUAAACCAAGAAUUCAUGCUGACAUUCACAAAAACUAAACUCUAACAUUACCCUACCUAAACUCUAUCAUUCUCAAUAAACCAAACUAGCAUUCUCAGGCUUGCAAUUCACAAAUCGAACUCAGGUUGAUAUCCACAAAAACAAAACUCUAGCAUUCUCUACAACAAUUCAAAUUCUAGCAUUCCCAUUACUUAUCACAACUUUAGUAUUCUGUAACACAAAAUGUACACUAAAACGACCAUAAAUUAGCACAAACCAAAUUCUACCAUUCCAGUCAAUGGCCAAGUCCAUAACCGGUGAGGCGAAGUUGAUUCAGAAAGACAGCGGCGAAGCAAGUCGAAACCGAGUCAGGAAUCGGCGACGCGAGUCUACUUCGUUUCAGGAUCCAGGCAAGUUAAAUUGUUCUUUUGAGUGUAGGUCUGAUUUAUUAAGGCUUGCUUCGGGAGACGACGACGACGGCUAGGUCUGAUUUGAGAAGAAACCGGCGAAUUCAAGGUAUUAUCCGGCGACGACGACGGCAGUAAUGUUUUGUUGGCGUCGGCGAUUGAGAGGAAGAGAAAUUAGGUUUUGUGUGUUUGUCAAUUUAGGUGAGAAAUAAAAGGGGUAGUUUGGUCAAUUUGAUUAAUGAAAAUGUUAGGG
rnacentral:lncRNA from 1 species